UACGAAGGGGGCUAGCGUUGCUCGGAAUUACUGGGCGUAAAGCGCACGUAGGCGGCUUUCUAAGUCGGAGGUGAAAUCCUGGAGCUCAACUCCAGAACUGCCUUCGAUACUGGAGAGCUUGAGUCCGGGAGAGGUGAGUGGAACUCCUAGUGUAGAGGUGAAAUUCGUAGAUAUUAGGAAGAACACCAGUGGCGAAGGCGGCUCACUGGCCCGGUACUGACGCUGAUGUGCGAAAGCGUGGGGAGCAAACAGG
rnacentral:rRNA from 1 species